GCUAGCGUAGCUUAAUAUAAAGCAUAACACUGAAAAUGUUAAGAUGGGCCCUGAGAAGCUCCGCAUGCA
rnacentral:tRNA from 1 species